CACACUCUAGCUCAGUGACACAGCAGCUCCCCUCCACCUCAGAGUGGCAUAGCCUCCCCCCCACCUGUGCGUGACAUCUCGGGCCCCACCAUGAAGGGUCCCGCCACCUGCCACCUCCUCAUCCACCCCAUGGAGCACGGCUACUGGCCAGGGGCCAGCCACCUCCACUCCCCUCCCUACUCAGGCCACUAGCUGAAGGGUAGGGACAGGGGACACAGAGGCAGGCUGGCCCAAAGCCCCAGGGAGGCCCAGGGAUUCAGGACAGGAUGGAAAUUCUUCGUUUACUUUCCACUCACCAUGAACUUCAAGAGCAAGAAAUACACCUGGAAUGCAUCUGGGAUUCCCUCGGGCUUCGCGACUGGUCUAUCUCAGGGACAAACACCUGUGGCCAGGUGGGGGCCUGAUGUAGUAGCUGGGGCUGGACAGCUGUUCCCACCUGUCAUGUCUCUCUGCUGUCUGUGUAGGCACCCGUAACCCCACCCCCCCCCCACACACACACGCCCAAGUGCUGUCCCUGGCUGGAAGUCCAGGUCACCACUUCUCCUGCUGGGAAUUGAGUGCACAUUGGCACACUCCCCGUAGGGGCCUCUGCUGGUCAAGUGCUGGGCCUCGGGGCACAGCCUCAACUGCUGAAACCACCUGCCGUCCUGGGCCACCUGCUGCACUCGAGGAGCCGGCACCUGCACUUUGCUGCACAAUCCAGACUCAUUGCCCCCGAGGCCAGCACUGCCCCUGGGCCUUGCCCCGUCCUUGGGCUGUCUGGGGUUUGGCUUCUCCCUGGUCAACGCACUGGCUCCUUUUGAGUCCGGAUGCCACAGUGUCUCCCACCAUCAUCACCAUUGUCCUGCCUCCAAGAAGGGCUUGGGCUGAGACGGGAUGUGGCGGGUGUCGGGCUGCCCUGGAUGCAGGAGCUUGCGUGGCUCCUUUCCAUCAGCGUUGGCUGACAUGGACCCAAACAGAGCUCUGCCCUUUUUUUUUUUUUGGUGUGUCUGUGUGUGCCAGAGAUGGAACUCAGGGGCACCCGACUACUGAGCCACACCCCCAGCCCUAUUUUGUAUUUUAUUUAGAGACAGGGUCUCACUGAGUGCUUAGCACCUUGUUUUUGUUGAGGCUGGCUUUGAACUCACCAUCCUCGUGCCUCAGCCUCCCGAGCUGCUGGGAUUACAAGUAUGCCACUGUGCCCAGCUCUGGGGCCUUUUUCUUUUGUCAUGAAGAAGUUCACCCCUCUCUGAAGCCAGUUCCCC
rnacentral:lncRNA from 1 species